CCUACGGGUGACAGCAGUGAGGAAUAUUGGUCAAUGGGCGAGAGCCUGAACCAGCCAAGUCGCGUGAAGGAUGACGGCCCUACGGGUUGUAAACUUCUUUUGUCAGGGAGCAAUUGAGUCCACGUGUGGUCUUAUCGAGAUUACCUGAAGAAAAAGCAUCGGCUAACUCCGUGCCAGCACCCGCGUGAAUCCGGAGGAUGCGAGCGUUAUCCGGAUUUAUUGGGUUUAAAGGGAGCGUGGGUGGAUUGUUAAGGCAGUUGGGAAAGUUUGCGGCUUAACCGUAAAAUUGCAGUUGAAACUGGCAGUCUUGAGUAGAGGAGAGGUGGGCGGAAUGCGUGGUGUAGCGGUGAAAUGCUUAGAUAUCACGAAGAACUCCGAUUGCGAAGGCAGCUCACUGGACUGCAACUGACACUGAGGCUCGAAAGUGUGGGUAUCAAACAGGAUUAGAUACCCGUGUAGUC
rnacentral:rRNA from 1 species